UCAUAUGCUUGUCUCAAAGAUUAAGCCAUGCAUGUCUAAGUACAAGCUGUCUCGUACAGUGAAACUGCGAAAGGCUCAUUAAAUCAGUUAUGGUUCCUUAGAUCGUACCCACGUUACAUGGAUAACUGUGGUAAUUCUAGAGCUAAUACAUGCCGACAGAGCUCCGACCAGCGCGUCGUCGUUCGGCGGUUCGCCCGUCGUCGUCGGCCGUUCGGAAGGAGCGCUUUUAUUAGAUCAAAACCGGCCAAGCGUUCGGAUUGCGCUUCGCGCGCACAUUCGGACGUAAGUGGCCCGCGCAAAGACUUGACGACUCUGAAUAACUUCGAGCUGAUCGCACGGUCCUCGUACCGGCGACGUAUCUUUCAAAUGUCUGCCUUAUCAACUGUCGACGGUAGGUUCUACGCCUACCGUGGUGGUAACGGGUAACGGGGAAUCAGGGUUCGAUUCCGGAGAGGGAGCCUGAGAAACGGCUACCACAUCCAAGGAAGGCAGCAGGCACGAAAAUUAUCCAUUCAGGACUCCUGGAGAUAGUGACGAAAAAUAACGAUACGGGACUCAUCCGAGGCCCCGUAAUCGGAAUGAGUACACUUUAAAACCUUGGUCACACGAGGAUCAAUUGGAGGGCAAG
rnacentral:rRNA from 1 species